CAGCAGCCACGGGAAUACGUAGGUGGCAAGCGUUAUCCGGAAUUAUUGGGCGUAAAGCGCGCGUAGGCGGUUUUUUAAGUCUGAUGUGAAAGCCCACGGCUCAACCGUGGAGGGUCAUUGGAAACUGGAAAACUUGAGUGCAGAAGAGGAAAGUGGAAUUCCAUGUGUAGCGGUGAAAUGCGCAGAGAUAUGGAGGAACACCAGUGGCGAAGGCGACUUUCUGGUCUGUAACUGACGCUGAUGUGCGAAAGCGUGGGGAUCAAACAGGAUUAGAUACCCCGGUAGUCCCUGUCUCUUAUAC
rnacentral:rRNA from 1 species